rnacentral:rRNA from 1 species
GUAGGUGGCAAGCGUUGUCCGGAAUUAUUGGGCGUAAAGCGCGCGCAGGCGGUUCUUUAAGUCUGAUGUGAAAGCCCACGGCUCAACCGUGGAGGGUCGUUGGAAACUGGAGAACUUGAGUACAGAAGAGGAAAGCGGAAUUCCACGUGUAGCGGUGAAAUGCGUAGAGAUGUGGAGGAACACCAGUGGCGAAGGCGGCUUUCUGGUCUGUAACUGACGCUGAGGCGCGAAAGCGUGGGGAGCAAACAGGAUUAGAUACCCUGGUAGUCCACGCCGUAAACGAUGAGUGCUAAGUGUUAGGGGGGUUUUCCGCCCCCCUUAGUGCUGCAGCUAACGCAUUAAGCACUCCGCCUGGGAGUACGGCCGCAAGGCUG